GACGAACGCUGGCGGCGUGCCUAAUACAUGCAAGUCGAACGCAUUUUCUUUCACCGUAGCUUGCUACACCGAAAGAAAAUGAGUGGCGAACGGGUGAGUAACACGUGGGUAACCUGCCCAUCAGCGGGGGAUAACACUUGGAAACAGGUGCUAAUACCGCAUAAUUCCAUUUACCGCAUGGUAGAUAGAUAAAAGGCGCUUUUGCGUCACUGAUGGAUGGACCCGCGGUGCAUUAGCUAGUUGGUGGGGUAACGGCCUACCAAGGCUGCGAUGCAUAGCCGACCUGAGAGGGUGAUCGGCCACACUGGGACUGAGACACGGCCCAGACUCCUACGGGAGGCAGCAGUAGGGAAUCUUCGGCAAUGGACGCAAGUCUGACCGAGCAACGCCGCGUGAGUGAAGAAGGUUUUCGGAUCGUAAAACUCUGUUGUUAGAAAAGAACAAGGAUGAGAGUGGAAAGUUCAUCCCUUGACGGUAUCUAACCAGAAAGCCACGGCUAACUACGUG
rnacentral:rRNA from 1 species